AAAAAACAAGACCAAAGCAUAAUGUUUAAGAAAUGUGAAUGUAUAUUUCCAUCUUUAAAGGCAUUUGAAUACAGUACAUGAAAUUCAAAACCUCAGUUGUGAAUUCGCUAUUUACCAAUGACAAGGUUUAAGUUCUUCAGUGGCCAUGAGUAAGUUAAGUUUGUCAUCACUUUUUGCCCUGGUGUAGUAUUUUCCAAAUAGUAAAUGCUCAAUUCACAUGUACAUUAAAGUAAAUACUAAGAAAACCCUCACAUGUAACUAGACACAAUUCUAUUCAUGUAUCUUUGAAAUCAACUGGAGACAUUAUCAAUUAAUGCAAAGAUCCUGGGCUUUCAAUCCAAAGAAGCUUACCUCUCUGCUCCAGAUGCUCAUCUUGCUGGCUGUGUGUCUCCAGGGAAUUGAAGCACCUUGAAAAGGAUAAGAAAACUUCAACAUUACAACGAUGUUUCAUAUCAUUAGGCUCAAAUUAAGUAAAUAACAGAAUCCUAAGCUGAUGACACAUCCUGGGUUUGCACUAAUCAUAAUUUGCAAUCUCCAUCAUUGUCAUCAGAACCUUUUUGCCUAGCAACAUUCCUGCUGCUGCUUCUGUUCCGACCCUCUGGGUGCAACUGAAGGAGGAGGCAGUCAAAAGGAAAAACACAAAUAUCUCCAAGAUGGCACUUACAAAAAGCAACAACAAUGACAAAGUAUAAAUACAAACACACACCUUGAAGUUUAUGUUCUUACUCAAAUGCAAGCAUCAACAAUGGCCUACUGUCAGCAAGUUAAAUGGCUGGGGCUGUUUCAGUCUCCCAUUACAUGAAGAAUCUUCUGGAGAGGAAAGAAGAAACCAUGUCUAGACAAGGUGCUGGAAAGACCCAGGGAAGACACAGGC
rnacentral:lncRNA from 1 species